rnacentral:rRNA from 1 species
ACAAGCGGAGGAGCAUGUGGUUUAAUUCGAUGAUACGCGAGGAACCUUACCUGGGCUCGAACGUAAGAUGACUGUAGGUGAAAGCUUACAUCUCUUCGGAGCAUUUUACGAGGUGCUGCAUGGUUGUCGUCAGCUCGUGCCGUGAGGUGUCGGGUUAAGUCCCAUAACGAGCGCAACCCCUACCUUUAGUUGCCAUCAGGUAAUGCCGGGGACUCUAAAGGAACUGCCUACGCAAGUAGUGAGGAAGCGGGGAUGACGUCAAAUCAGCACGGCCCUUACGUCCAGGGCUACACACGUGCUACAAUGGCCGAUACAGAGGGCAGCUACCUGGUGACAGGAUGCAAAUCUCCAAAGUCGGUCUCAGUUCGGACCGGAGUCUGCAACCCGACUCCGUGAAGUUGGAUUCGCUAGUAAUCGCGCAUCAGCCAUGGCGCGGUGAAUACGUUCCCGGGUCUU